GACGAACGCUGGCGGCGUGCUUAACACAUGCAAGUCGAACGGAAAGGCCCUGCUUUUGUGGGGUGCUCGAGUGGCGAACGGGUGAGUAACACGUGAGUAACCUGCCCUUGACUUUGGGAUAACUUCAGGAAACUUGGGCUAAUACCGGAUAGGAGCUCCUGCUGCAUGGUGGGGGUUGGAAAGUUUCGGCGGUUGGGGAUGGACUCGCGGCCUAUCAGCUUGUUGGUGGGGUAGUGGCUUACCAAGGCUUUGACGGGUAGCCGGCCUGAGAGGGUGACCGGCCACAUUGGAACUGGGAUACGGCCCAGACUCCUACGGGAGGCAGCGGUGGGGAAUAUUGCACAAUGGGCGGAAGCCUGAUGCAGCAACGCCGCGUGCGGGAUGACGGCCUUCGGGUUGUAAACCGCUUUCGCCUGUGACGAAGCGUGAGUGACGGUAAUGGGUAAAGAAGCACCGGCUAACUACGUG
rnacentral:rRNA from 1 species